AAUAAUAACAAAAAUUUGCACUCUGUCUCACAGCAGAGUUAGGGUUCUACUUCGAAGUCAGUAAAGAAGAAAUUUCUAGUUGUGGACUCUUGUGAGAAAGAGCCAUCAGCAUGUAUAUAAAGCAGGUUGUAAUCGAAGGGUUUAAGAGUUACCGUGAGCAAAUUGCUACAGAGCCCUUCAAUC